AUUGAACGCUGGCGGCAGGCCUAACACAUGCAAGUCGAGCGGAUGAGAGGAGCUUGCUCCUUGAUUCAGCGGCGGACGGGUGAGUAAUGCCUAGGAAUCUGCCUGGUAGUGGGGGACAACGUUUCGAAAGGAACGCUAAUACCGCAUACGUCCUACGGGAGAAAGCAGGGGACCUUCGGGCCUUGCGCUAUCAGAUGAGCCUAGGUCGGAUUAGCUAGUAGGUGGGGUAACGGCCCACCUAGGCGACGAUCCGUAACUGGUCUGAGAGGAUGAUCAGUCACACUGGAACUGAGACACGGUCCAGACUCCUACGGGAGGCAGCAGUGGGGAAUAUUGGACAAUGGGCGAAAGCCUGAUCCAGCCAUGCCGCGUGUGUGAAGAAGGUCUUCGGAUUGUAAAGCACUUUAAGUUGGGAGGAAGGGCAGUUAGUUAAUACCUGACUGUUUUGACGUUACCAACAGAAUAAGCACCGGCUAACUUCGUGCCAGCAGCCGCCGUAA
rnacentral:rRNA from 1 species